UAACUAAAAACAAAAGAAACAGACAAAUCUAACAAGGACAGACAUUUGGUCUCUCUAUAUUGUUGUAGAAAGAUUAUUCAGACCUGAGGACUAAAGCAAGAAAGUUGAGGGACAGAGAGGGAAGAUUAGGUUAUGAUGGACGGGUCAGGGGUGUUGAGCAAGGGAAGGUCUAGAUGAGGAGUAACUGAGGUAUGUGCAGAAAAUCAGGGAACCCCAAAGUAAGAAAACAGUACACACAGGAGAUGAAUACCUAGACAUUUGUUCUUCUAUUUACAGGCCUGCAAACCAUCUUCCACAGAGCCCAGAGAAUGGUGGGCUCCCCCUCAGUUUUCUAGAAUAUUCUCUAAUGACAGAUUGUCCAGGAGUCUAGUUUGAGACAAAGUAUAAUUCCCUCCUUAUACAUGUAUCUGUCUGUCUGUCCAUCAUCUAUCUAUCUGUCCAUCUGUCAUCUAUCUAUCCAUCCAUCUAUGUAUCUAUCUCUCAACUAUCUAUCCAUCAUCUAUCUGUCUAUCAAUUAUCUAUCUAUCUAUCAUCUAUCUAUCUAUCUAUCUAUCUAUCUAUCUAUCUAUCUAUCUAUCUAUAUUUAGCAGGGCCAUAGCUCAGGCUGGCUUCAAACUCACUAUAAAGCUGAGCAUUAUCUUGAACUUUUUUUUUUUAAUUUUUAACCAUUUUUAUCUUAUGUGUGUGAAUAUCUUGUCUGCAUGAAUCCCAGUGUUUCAUGUGUGUGCAGUGCCUGAGGAUGCUAGAAGAGGGGGUCUGGUCCUCUGCAACUGGAGUUAGGGCUGGUUGGUAACCACCAUGUGGGUGCUGGGAAUCAAACCCAGGUUCUGGAAAGAGCAGCCAGUGGUCUCAAUGGCUGCACCACCUGUCCAGCCCCAGCCUUCUUAUUUUCUUGUCUUCUCCUCCAGAGUGCUGGAUUACAGUGUGUGUCUCCAUGCCUGGGGACACACGCUGUAACGUAUGUGGUGCUGGGGACCAAACCCAUGUCUCUGUGCAUCUGAGGUGAGUUCUCCACCCUCAAACCCUGCUUUAUAUCUUUUUAUUCGAGCACAUUUGGGCAAAUUGAAUUUGGCUGUUACUUGGAACAAAAAGGCCAGGUCUGCUCACUACCACAGGCUGACCUGCCGCCUCAGCCCCGGUGAAGUUCCAACACAGACCAGAGAAGUUGCUGUCCAUAGCUGGGGCUUCCAGAAGUGGCCCUGCCUUUGCCUGACAGCUGUGGCCUCUGUCCUCUAUGGGUGAGCUAGUUACUACAAAGCAUAUGCUUUCUUCCUGCCUAUCCUUUUCCCACAGAAAAACAAGGCCUACAGAUUGCAAAUGGAAUCAGAAUAGACCCAGAGCUCUGGCCAUCAGUAACACCCACUGACAACGGGGUUUUAACGGACAAACGCAGGGGCUGUGCUGAGAUGCCAAAAUCCUCCCCCUCCUUUGACCUGUCACUUUCCUUUGUUGUUCCCCCCACCCCCACUCACCUUUUUUCCCCCCUUUUUUGGGACUAAAGUCUCACAAUAUAACCUUGGCCCAAACUCAGAGAUCCACCUGCCUCUGCCUCCUGAGUGCUGGGAUUAAAGGUGUGCACCACCAUACCAAACUCAGCUUCUCCUUCAUUUUCUGGGAGGGUCUAGACCCGUACACCAGGCAGGCGUCUCCUUCGGGGUGCUACAAUUUCUGGUGUGCAUAGCACACCUAGCUUGUACUAUUUAUUUUUUUCCUCUUUGCUCGAAAGCUCAUGCAUAAAUUUAUACAGGCAUCCAGUGUACAUGCUUACUCACAGGGCUGCUUUUGCACAGUGCCUACAUGUGCAAGCAGGGUGCUUCAACAUAGACCAGCAAUCACAGUCUUGUUUGUAGAUUCACGCCCACGAACACAGAUACACUCAUUUUAUACCCACUCACAAGGAUACACACAAGCACAGACACACCUAUGCAUGAGUAAAUAUAGACCACCCAUGCACGUGGACACCUGCAAACAAGGGUAGAGAGCUGUGUGCCACCUGCCCUGCCCCCAAGCCCUCUAGUCCUCUGCUCUGGAGACCUCUGCUGGUGGAGCCAGGAACUGCACCCAGACUCUGCAACUGAGCUCAGCUGGAGGCUGGAGGGAGGAAGAUGAGGAGUGAACCGGAUCCACCCGGGUCAGAUCCUGGGCUCCAUGUUGCUGCUUCCACCUGGUUCAUGCAUGUGACUUUUUCUGCAGCUUCCACUGCAGUGCAGAAGGAGUCUUCAUGAAAAGAUCUCCCACAGGUUUCUUCCAGACCUAGGCCCACCCUGCCCAAGCAGUGGCCCCUGCUAGUGUCCCUGACACAGGGAAAAGGCCCCAGCAUGGCUGCACGGCACACUCCUCUCAGUCUAUGACAAGGCUUCACCUUGAACAUAUGGGGCACCCGUGCUGGUAUCUUCCAUUUUCUCCCUCCCUCUUGUGCUGCUUUCUAGUGGCACUAGGGACCUCGCCUCUCUCUCCGCUGUCAUUGGACCUCUGACUUGGCUUGUUAUAGCUCCUAUUGUGACUAUCACAUGUCCCCUUGCAGGUCCCACUCCUAUCUCCUUAUACGUGUUCAAGGGGAGUGAUGCUGGGACCUGGGAAUAAGAUAGAUGGAAUUAAUGGUGAGUCUACCAGCGGCAGCCCUAGGCCUGUUCUCAGCCUCACUGUCUUCAGGAGGAUUGUAGACCUUGACAUUUUGUGUUUGGGUGACUAAAUGAGACAGACUACUCAGUGCCCAAUGUCAGGCAUAAGCCAUCUCUGUGAGGCAUUCUGAACCACUGACAAUGUAAGAUGAUGGAGAAAAUUGGGCCAGAUAACCUCACUGCAAGAAAUGAGCAUUUACUACAGCAACAGCCAAUCUCUAAGAGGCUUGGGCAGGUCUAAAGAGAUUUUAUUUGUGUGGUUGGGGUAUCAAGCUGGGAUCACAGCUCAACUUCACAGAGGAGAUGAAGUGGUGUCAGCAGGCAUCCUCUCUCUGUCUACUCCCUCAUCUCUCCAGGCAGAGAUCAUUUCCUCCAGGUUAGAAUUGGAACUGACAGAAAGCAAAUAUUGGUUUGGUGGGAUAUGGUGUUAUUGCCUGCCUGGCUUCCCACGGCACAGCAAUGUUUCCUAGGGGCCCAUGCUCACAUGUAGAGGGUGCUAAUGGCUAUUACAGACCUGCCUCACCAUCCCUCUGCUCUGCUCAGCCCCCUUGUAUCCUUCCUCCUUGCCCUGUGUGCCCUCGGCAUUGCUUUGGCAUCCCUGCUUCACCAGGUCUCCUUUGGAUGUCUGUGAUCACACCAGCCCAACCCAUGGGUGGAUUUAGAAUUCUUUCUGGGAAGUGGGUCCAUAUCCAGGCAAGAAGCUGAUGGGAUGGGGAUGCAGGCAAACAAGUCUCAAUGGGCAGAGUGCUUGCCUAGUAUGCACACAGCCCUUCGCUUGAUUGCCAGAACUGUGAAACUGAGUGUGGCUGGUGCUGUGCACCUGAAACUCUGCCAUUCAGGAGGAGGAGGCAACAGGAUCCAAAGUUCAAAGUCAUCCUUGGCAAUACAGUGAGUUCAAGGCUAGAGACUACAAAAUGCCAGGUCUCAGAAAUUUAAACACACACGAGUGUUCUCUCUCUGUCUCUCUGUCUCUGUCUCUGUCUCUGUCUCUCUCUCUCUGUCUCUCUCUCUCUCACACACACACACUCCAAGAAAAUCACUCAGUAUAUGACUAGGUCUCCAUUUUUCAAGCCAGAUCCUAAAUGUCUGUCUGAGCCACGGACAAACUGGGCUUUUCUCACAUUUACAUAAGAAAAGAGUAAACAACUCCAUUGCAAGGCCAGUAUUUAGGACUGGGAAAAUGACUUGAGUCUAGAAAAGUUUGCUUGGUUUUGAGGCUGGUGCCCAGAGGAGAGCCUGGCUUUUUCUCAAGCAUAUGGGGUGAAGGGAAGGGCAUUCGAGAGGAAACUUCCAAGUGCUUUUCAAAGACUAAGAAGUUGACUCUUUUGACAUGUAAAACAAUCUUGUUUCUAAUUCAAAUAAAAAAAUGGAAAAAAAAAAGAAUGUCUAAGAA
rnacentral:lncRNA from 1 species